rnacentral:rRNA from 1 species
GUGCCAGCCGCGGCGGUAAUACGUAGGUGGCAAGCGUUAUCCGGAUUUAUUGGGCGUAAAGCGAGCGCAGGCGGUUUUUUAAGUCUGAUGUGAAAGCCUUCGGCUUAACCGAAGAAGUGCAUCGGAAACUGGGAAACUUGAGUGCAGAAGAGGACAGUGGAACUCCAUGUGUAGCGGUGAAAUGCGUAGAUAUAUGGAAGAACACCAGUGGCGAAGGCGGCUGUCUGGUCUGUAACUGACGCUGAGGCUCGAAAGCAUGGGUAGCGAACAGGAUUAGAUACCCUGGUAGUCCAUGCCGUAAACGAUGAAUGCUAAGUGUUGGAGGGUUUCCGCCCUUCAGUGCUGCAGCUAACGCAUUAAGCAUUCCGCCUGGGGAGUACGACCGCAAGGUUGAAACUCAAAGGAAUUGACGGGGCCCGCACAAGCGGUGGAGCAUGUGGUUUAAUUCGAAGCAACGCGAAGAACCUUACCAGGUCUUGACAUCUAGCGCCAAUCUCAGAGAUGAGACGUUCCC